GAAUGACAUAUGAUUGUUCUUAACAUAUUCAUUCUCUUUUUUCUUUUUCAGACCAUAUUUUCUCUUACCUGUGAGAAAGAUUUUACUUCAAAAUUUUACAUGUGUUUAUCGCGCAAGUGUUUUCUAGCUGAUAAUAACAAAAGGAAGCCGGUAGCAACAUCUACUAAGACAGAAAUUAAUGAGGAUUAUAAAGAUGACGAUAACAGAAGGAAGCCGGUAACAACAUCUACUAAGACAGAAAUUAAUGAAGAUUAUAAAGUUGGUAUGUAACAGUUACUUUAA